GUCUAUGGCCAUACCACCCUGAAUGCACCGCAUGUCGUCUGAUAUCAGAAGCUAAGCAGGGUUGGGCCUGGUUAGUACUCGGAUGGGAGGAAUGACAAAAGUGAAAUUUCAACAGAUCCUACAGAAA
ensembl:rRNA 5S_rRNA 5S ribosomal RNA